rnacentral:rRNA from 1 species
UACGGAGGAUGCAAGCGUUAUCCGGAAUGAUUGGGCGUAAAGCGUCCGCAGGUGGCAAUGUAAGUCUGCUGUCAAAGCGUCUGGCUCAACCAGAUAAAGGCAGUGGAAACUACAUAGCUAGAGUAAGGUAGGGGUAGAGGGAAUUCCUGGUGUAGCGGUGAAAUGCGUAGAGAUCAGGAAGAACACCGGUGGCGAAAGCGCUCUGCUGGACCUUAACUGACACUCAGGGACGAAAGCUAGGGGAGCGAAUGGG